UCUCCGUUAGUAUAUCGGUUAGUACACGCGCCUGUCAUCUCAAUAUGGCCGCGCGAAAGCUGGGUUCGACUCCCAGACGGAGAG